rnacentral:misc_RNA from 1 species
UAUUGUCGGUGAAAACUCCGUUAAGUACUCGAUGUUGGUGGGGUGCAGUGUAAGUCUUUGAAGAUGAUGAAGAAAGAAAAUAAUUUUAAGUAUUUUUCUUCCUUUUUUCCCAAGAAUUUAUUUUGAAUACCUAUAUUUUUCUCCUUUUAGUGGAUAUUUAAUGAAAUUAAUGGCUUUGAAUUGUACAUGUUCCUAAUUAAAGUGAAUAAAUG